UACGGAGGGUGCAAGCGUUAUCCGGAUUCACUGGGUUUAAAGGGUGCGUAGGUGGGCAGGUAAGUCAGUGGUGAAAUCUCCGGGCUUAACCCGGAAACUGCCAUUGAUACUAUCUGUCUUGAAUACCGUGGAGGUGAGCGGAAUAUGUCAUGUAGCGGUGAAAUGCUUAGAUAUGGCAUAGAACACCAAUUGCGAAGGCAGCUCGCUGCGCGAAUAUUGACACUGAGGCACGAAAGCGUGGGGAGCAAACAGG
rnacentral:rRNA from 1 species